ACACAGGGCCUUGCUCUGGAGCUAACUAUCAAGUCCCUGCCACCCCUCCCCUCCCAUAGCACUGUGCACAGCUAUGUCCAACUCUUCACAUGGGUGUUAGAUUUGAACUCAUAUCCUCAUGUAUACUCUGCAAGGGCUAGUUCUCUAGCCCCUUGUUUUAUUUUUUUAAUUAGUUAUUCGUGUCUGUGUCAUGUAUACCCAAGUGUGUGCAUACAAGUGUGUAUUUGUGUAUGUAUGAGUGUGGAGACCAGAGGACAGCUUUCAGGAGUUGGAUAUCUCCACUAGGUGAGGUCCAGAGGUUGAAUUCAGGUCAGUAGACUUCAGCAGCAGCUAUCUGUGUGCACAGAGCCAUCUUCCUGGCCCCUUGCCUUACUUUGUUGAGACAGGAUCUCCUGAUGGCUUGGCCUGGGAGACACUGUGUAGCCCAGGCUGACUUCAAAUGCACAACAGUCCUCCUCCCCCAGCGUGAGUCCCUGGCUGCAGGCAUAUGCCACCACACACAUCUGAUUUGGUUCACUGAGUCUAGGAAGGCCUGGAAAGGUCCUCUCACCACGCCCUGCUUGCAGAUCAGGAUGCAUGUGUAGCUCUCAGCUGCUUCCUCAACAUCCUGCCACUGUGCUCCUCGCCAUGAUGAUAAAGGACUAAGCAUCUGAACCUUGCCCCAUGGAUCUCUGAAGGCUGCAGAGCAGACGUGUCAUCCACCAGCAGUCUUACUCAGCUGUAGGCCCUGCCGGCAGCAAGACACUAAUACCAACCUGCAAAGCAAGAUGUGAACCUUACUUACCAGUGGCCACACUGACUUCCAGGAUGACCAGGCCAUUGCACUCUCGAACUCAGAGAAACUGCCCAAGACCUUGCCUGUUAAUAUUGUUCCAGGGAAGGGGGAAGGGCUUGUGGGACCCCAUACUUCCCUGAAGAGUUUUAUGCAGAUAAUGGUUGCUCAAGGGAAGCAUGUUUUCCUUAGUGGUGUAGGCACUGGAAACGAACUCAUGUUCUAUAAACAAAUCCCUUCCCACGUACCUGUAAAUAACUCUAAUGAAACUAUUGAGUCAUAAAAAAGUGUGGGUACAUCAAAGUAGAAGAGGGGGACUGGUAACUGGGAAGAGGAAAGAGUAACAGUGGAGGGAGACAAGAUGAGGGUAAGGGGGGUUGACUAUGUUCUAAAUAUAUUAUGUAUAUGCAUAAAAAUGUCAUAAUGAAACUUAUUAUUAUGUAUAAUUAACAUGAUAAUACAAAAUUAAAGAAAGACAAUAAUGUGAUGGGGGAGGGGAGAAAUGGCAAUGAUCUGAAGGCAGAGGAGGUAAAGGAAUGAGAGGGGAUAGGAGUGGAGGAGGGCACAGGAGGGGGAGAGGAGGAAGAAAGUAUGAUUCAUAGAUGUAUAAAAUUAGCAUUGAGGAAAAUUACCCAUUAUUCUGUACAACU